rnacentral:rRNA from 1 species
UGAGCUAAUACCUCGGAGUAAUGACGGUACCUGAAGAAUAAGCACCGGCUAACUACGUGCCAGCAGCCGCGGUAAUACGUAGGGUGCAAGCGUUAAUCGGAAUUACUGGGCGUAAAGCGUGCGCAGGCGGUUUUGUAAGUCUGAUGUGAAAUCCCCGGGCUCAACCUGGGAACUGCAUUGGAGACUGCAAGGCUAGAGUGUGUCAGAGGGGGGUAGAAUUCCACGUGUAGCAGUGAAAUGCGUAGAGAUGUGGAGGAAUACCGAUGGCGAAGGCAGCCCCCUGGGAUAACACUGACGCUCAUGCACGAAAGCGUGGGGAGCAAACAGGAUUAGAUACCCUGGUAGUCCACGCCCUAAACGACGUCUACUAGUUGUCGGGACUUAAUUGUCUUGGUAACGCAGCUAACGCGUGAAGUAGACCGCCUGGGGAGUACGGUCGCAAGAUUAAAACUCAAAGGAAUUGACGGGGACCCGCACAAGCGGUGGAUGAUGUGGAUUAAUUCGAUGCAACGCGAAAAACCUUACCUACCCUUGACAUGGCAGGAAUCCCGAAGAGAUUUGGGAGUGCUCGCAAGAGAACCUGCACACACGGUGCUGCAUGGCUG